rnacentral:rRNA from 1 species
UACGUAGGGUGCAAGCGUUGUCCGGAAUUAUUGGGCGUAAAGAGCUCGUAGGCGGUCUGUCGCGUCUGCUGUGAAAAACCUGGGGCUUAACCCCCGAGCCUGCUUCUGAUACGGGGCAGACUAGAGGUAUGCAGGGGGAGAACGGAAUUCCUGGUGUAGCGGUGAAAUGCGCAGAUAUCAGGAGGAACACCGGUGGCGAAGGCGGAUCUCUGGGCCUUACCUGACGCUCAGGACGAAAGCUGGGGAGCAACAGG